rnacentral:rRNA from 1 species
GACGAACGCUGGCGGCGUGCCUAAUACAUGCCAGUCGAGCGGACUGAUUAAGAGCUUGCUCUUAUGACGUUAGCGGCGGACGAGUGAGUAACACGUGGGCAACCUGCCCUGUAGAUCGGGAUAACACCGAGAAAUCGGUGCUAAUACCGGGUAAUAUCUGAGAUCACAUGAUCUUAGGUUAAAAGAUGGCUCCGGCUAUCACUACAGGAUGGGCCCGCGGCGCAUUAGCUAGUUGGUAAGGUAAUGGCUUACCAAGGCGACGAUGCGUAGCCGACCUGAGAGGGUGAUCGGCCACACUGGGACUGAGACACGGCCCAGACUCCUACGGGAGGCAGCAGUAGGGAAUCUUCCGCAAUGGACGAAAGUCUGACGGAGCAACGCCGCGUGAGUGAUGAAGGGUUUCGGCUCGUAAAGCUCUGUUGUUAGGGAAGAAACAGUACCGAACGAACUAGGUCGGUACCUUGACGGUACCUAAACAGAAAGCCACGGCUAACUACGUG